CUCUCCUUUUCAUGUGGCGACCCUCCUCUCCUACUAGAGGCCUCCUCCUACUGCACUCGUGGUCUGACUGUGGUCUUCUUCCCCGGCGGACUGUUCGUCGUCGGCCAUUGCUGUUCCCCCAAGCUCUGCUCGCUCAGGUGCGCCUCUCCAUGUUACUGUCCGCUCCUUCCUGGUCUUAUGGUUUGUCUAAGCUGCUACGGUUUUAUUCUUCCUCAGCAUCUUGUUCCGGCUCCGCCAUUUCUGUCUCUCAACCUCCCCUCAUCUAGGUUCAAUCAGGUCCGCUAACGGCCGGCCGCUGCUUUUCCAAUCGACGUGUCCGACCAAGCCAUUUCGCCUCCCAGGGUAUAGCUUCACAGCACCUCAUUACCAGGUCAGGAAAACACCAUUCAGUAAUCGGAGAAGCUCACAUAGCAGUAGACCUCAAUGCUGAAACAAGUUUGCAAGUUCCUUCUGACUCAACCACAGAUGCCCAACUAUCAGUAGACCUAACUACCGAAACCAGCAUCCAACUAGCUUCCUUUGAACUUAACAUCCCUUUAGUGGACGCCCUACUCUCCUUGGCUCUCCAGAUUUCACUUGGUAACAUACAUAUGGAUCCAGUUCAUGUGUUCAGAGCUUUUGUCAUACCCACUCUAGCAUCUGCUGUUUGGAGAAGGUUGCUACAUUUUAUCUCCGCUCACUGUGAUGCAAAGCUACCUCCCAUUCCAGCGUGGAUUCGAGCUCCUCACAUUUACAUUAAUCACCGACCAUCCCUGAGCUUGUACCCGCUUCGAUGGCUUUGCUUAACCCUUAGCAGGAACAUAAAGCUCUGCAUCACAUCGGGCACGCUCAUUUGGACAAUAACCUUUAUCAGUUGCUUACCCAAUACAGCCGCAACUAUAAAGGUCCGAGCAGCCGCCAACUUUCUGCUUUAGAUGCUUCCUCCAGCUCUACUUACAGUGGCAAACAUAAUCGAAGCUGAAUUGUUCCUAUUUGAAUAUUAUAUGAUAGCUACCUACCAGUAUCUUAGGGGAUCCUACUUCCAUCAUUAGCGCAUAACACGGCAUAGAGGUCCUCAACUGCUACUUGCUGCUGGGAAAUCCACCAUCUGGCUAUAUAGCCAUACAUAUAUCACCUAUGCUUAUCAUCAUCAGCCUACAUGCAUCCACAGGCCCUGCAUUCAAUCAUCAGCUUCCAGACGAUGUGAUCGUGAAGGGAUUUCCCAUUCCGCUGAAUGUAUAUAUGCAGCAAUGUCUUUUGCUCACAAAUGUAAUGCCUCCUUAAUUAGUAAACACUCUGUUCUCCUCCAGCUCCUAUGCUGUCAGAAAUGGAGAUCCAGAUUGUAUGCUAGGCGCUACUUUCCCAA